rnacentral:lncRNA from 1 species
CUCCUCACUUACUGUUACGGUAUAAAUUGGACCUUUUUAAGUCCAAAAGUUCCCAAUUUUAGUCCUUUUGGGACUGCUUCUACUGCUGCAAUAAUCAAAUUGGAUUCUUAAAUCCAAAAUUCAAUUUUCGGCCAUUUGGAAUUGUUGUUACUCCGCUACUUAGCUGCUGCCACUGAUUUGGGUUUUAACCCAUUAAUAUUAGCUUCCCCUUUAUAACUUUGGCGGAGGUCGACUCAAAGAAAGGAAGAUGCAAGAGAGGGGAGUCCAAUUGGACUCAUUCGGAGGGAGUUCCUGCAAAGUAGAGAAAAGGAAGAAGAAUUAGCACAUGUAGCGAGAAAAUGACACUUCAGUUUUAAACAUUCAAACACAAGGAUGAAAUUAACCAAAUAAAACUAUCGUGAACAAAGGGGGAAAAGAAACAGAUCCGAAGCUAUUGCUAAGUUCAUAAAUCCACAAAAUGAUUAAUUAGUCACUGGACCUUUUGAUCUAUACAACCAGCAAAAGGCAUACUUACAAUGGCCAAAAUUGUACUAAACAUGCAAACGUAAUCAGCCAUCAGUUAAAUAAAAGAAAAGAUAGUAGCGUUCCGAUUUUAGCUUAGACUUCAUAUAUCAUUGACUAGUGACUUCUUUCACCAAAAACAAGCUCAACGUACAUAUCUAUAACAAAACUACAAAAGCAGACCCCAAAAGCAGAGCCU